GAUGUACUCCCUCCGUCUGGAAAUACUUAUCGAAGAAAUGGAAGUAUGUAGACAUAUGUUAGCACUAAAUACAUCCAUUUUAUCAUUUUUUCGAUUAGUAUUUCUGAACGGAGAGAGUACAUA
rfam:Triticum aestivum genome assembly, contig: Triticum_aestivum_CS42_TGACv1_scaffold_405720_5BL